UACAAAAUUUAUCACUGAUUACCUUUUGCUGACAAACUUUUUGCUGGAUGAGAACUUCUUCAACGAUGGUAGAAAAACUAAAUCCAAUCUCUAGGAAAAUGUUCAGUAGCUUCAUUAGCUUGUACCUUUAGCUGUCUAUUGCGUACAUAUUAUAGCGGAUUUUAGCCAAGUGAAUUGCAGGGUAUUAUAGUCAUUCCCUCGUGCAUAUAUACUCAUCAUCUUCAUUGACUCCUCGUAGGCGUUUGACCAUGAAAACAAAAUAUUUUUCACUUUAUUUGGAAUAAGAUGAAGUUGUGAUUAAUUAUAAUUUUUGUAAAAAAUAUUUGAUUAUUUGAAUAUACUGAACGUGAAAACAGGGUUUUAAACUUUUAAUUGUUUAUCAAAUUUCAUGUAUAAUCAAAUAUUGAUUUUCAAAUAAAAUAAAAAAAGAAAAAGAAAGGGAAAAGGGUGAAAUAUUCUGAUGGCCAAACGGGUCCCUAGAAUCAGAAUCAAACACAAUUCUCCAUCUUCAGAUCUGUUCUUCCCUAAUCUUCAAACCCUAGCUCAGUCGUAUUUAAAUUAUGGCCUGAUAAAGAGAUGUGUUUGCUUAAGAGAAAUCAACCCAAAUUAUCCAAUUCUACAAAACCCACAAACCUUUCUCAAAAAACCUUUCUCGAAGACAUACAAAAUUGUACAGUAGCAGUUUUACUGCACGGAAAUGCAGAGGUAAAUCAUGGCUAGAGGAGACCAACUCGGUUAUUUGCCCGAAUCGAUCCUACUUCACAUCCUCUCAAUGUCAGUUCCGCUAUCACUCGAUUUCAGAUUCCCCAUUAGUAAUACCAAAGAGUCCACUCUUGAUUACCUAGCUUCCGUGUCGUGCGAAAAAACCUGAAAAUUUAGGGUGUGGUGCCUUAGGUAAGAGGAGCGAUAUGCUAAAGAUGUUGAUUUAUGGCUACAUUUUGUUACGAAAGUUGAAGAUUUUAAACUUGAACUUUUUGCAAAUGACAAAAGAUAUGAGUUUCCUCAAUUUGCAUAGAAAGAUGCCUCCUUGAGGAAUUGGUUUUAUUGUACCGCUAAUUGAACCUUCUGGCACUGUUAACUGGAAUAGUCUCGUUUCUCUUUCAAUUGGUUGCCUGAAAGUGACAGAUGGUGUCAUGCAAAAGGUAUUAUCUGAUUGCCUAACUUGGAGUGCUUGAAAUUAGAGUGGGUUUCGGGCGUACAUCGUUUGGAGAUCAGCUCGGUGAAGUUGAGAGAAUUGACCAUAGAAUACUACUAUGAUGACAUUUUGCUCGAAAUAUUAGUCCAGUAUAUACAAACAUUGGAACUUUUGGGGUUCUGCAAUGAGAUAUGCAUUGGGCAGCUCUGUGAACCAAUUCCUUAAAGAGGCAUUUUUAGAGGAAACUCAUAUCUUUUGCCGUUUGGGCAAAGUUCAAGUGUAAAAUCUUCAACUUUAGUAGCAAAAUGUAGCUAUGAAUCAACAUCUUUAGCAUAACCCUCCUCGUAACGAAGGAAACACACCGUAAAUUUCGGGGAUUUUCUCGACCUCCAAUAAUAAAGUUCCUUGUGGAUGAAGCUAGGCAAGAGUGGACUCUUUGGUAUCAUUAAUGGGAGACAUCCAAAGAGACCUCCAUCACCUAAAUAAUAAGCUUGUUCGCACAACUUGUUUUCCGUCCGACAACAUAGAGAGGAUUUGAAGUAGGAUUGAUUCAGACAAUCACUGAGUCGGUCUCCUCUAACCAUGAUUUCCAUGGAGUAAAACUGCUAGUGUUGUCUGUUAACAAUUUUUGUCUUCGAGAAAGGUUUUAUGGAAUAGGGAGUUGGUCUGUAAUUUGAAUUAAUUCCGCUUAAGCAAAUAUAUCCCUUUAUCAGGCCACAAUGUAGCAACUCAAACCCUAGCUCAGUCGAUCGUAUGACUAUAUCACCAUGACAUCUUCUUCUUUUACCAGUGUUUCACAAGUUCCUUGAUGGAAAUACGAAGUUAUAUCGUUGUUUUGUGAUGUGGAUCCAUCCGAAACCCACCGGAUAUCUUUACUGAAGCCUUUGCCAAACAUGAAUCCAAGUAUUAAAAUGACGUUGAAGGAAUACAUAAGGUGCAAAGAUGGAGGACAGCCCUUACUCAAGUGGCCAAUCUAAAAGGCUUUGAUAUCCUCAAUGGCUGUCAUGUAUGCCGUUCAGACUCUGAAUUCCAACAAUUUGUUCGUGCAUUGUCCAGUAGAUUAGCUAGAGACAUCUGGAAUAUGUUCUUACCCCUUUCUGGUCUGAUGUGGGUUAUGCCUUGUAGCUUGAAGGAAGCUUCCAUUAGCUGUUGGAAAGUGCAGAAAAUCUAACAAUCUAAGACUGGAUUCAAUAGCAGAUCCUGCUUGCAUUUAUUUUGCCCUUUCAUCCCGAGUAUUGUAUCUUAACAAUAACUUCAAUUAGAUAGCUAUCACUAUCUAUCCAAAGCGGUUUUAUUUUACCCUAUGGA